UCCCUGGUAGUAUAUCGGUUUAGUACACGCGCCUGUCAUUAAAGGUCAUUAACUGGAAUUUGGACGCGCGAAAGCUGGGUUCGACUCCCAGCCAGAGAG